rnacentral:rRNA from 1 species
UACGUAGGGUCCAAGCGUUAUCCGGAAUCACUGGGCGUAAAGCGUGCGUAGGUGGGUGUUUAAGUGCGAUGCGAAAUCCUGUGGCUCAACCAUAUGGACUGUAUCGCAUACUGGAUACCUGGAGGAAUGCAGAGGCAAGUGGAAUUACCGGUGUAGCAGUGAAAUGCGUAGAGAUCGGUAGGAACACCGAUGGCGAAGGCAGCUUGCUGGGCAUUUCCUGACACUAAGGCACGAAAGCGUGGGGAGC